AUAUUAUCAAACCUAUUAUUGACAAAAUACAUAGCGAUAUGUUUCCUGUUUUGAUCCGCACAACUACAUAUUUUUAUAUUUAAAUAAUGUAUUUCUUAAGUAAAUUUAAAGAUAAUUUAUUAUUUGGGCUGCUAGUUUUACAUACAUUUCUAGUUACAAAAGUCACCUAGCAUAUGUGUAAAUCAUGCAAUAUAUAAAGGCAGUUAUAAACUUAUAAAUAUAAUUUAUAAAGACGUAUCAUAUUAAAACUAAUUUUAUAUUACAGGAUUCUGCCAAUUAUUCUUACAUUAUUCGGACAACUGUUCUUCUUAAAAUUUAAAAGAACGUAAAGAAUAACUGAAGUUUAUAAAAGCUGAAGAAAUUUUCACAAGGAUUAGAACAGAAAACUAAACUCAAAUGGAAGCGCUUGCACUCUUAUGUCACUAUCAUGUCCUGACAAUUUCGGAUUUUAUAAAACUAUAGGAGAUGUUGUGAUUGACGUUGAGAUUGUGAUUGACAUCUGGAGCAGAGCUAUAAUUUUGUUUAACAUUACGUGAAGUUUAUUUAAUGUUUUUCUCUUAUUUUCCCUCGUUUUUUGUUUUUAAAAGUUAUUUUUAAAAUAUUUUACUAAUCAUAAAGUAUAAUAUGUAUAUAUUUGUUUAGAUAUAAGCCUAUUUUGCUGAUAAAUAUGUGUUAAAUAUAUUAAGAAGUUUAUUAAAAAGACUA